ACCCUUUGUGACAUACCUACAACUGUUGCUUCGGCGGGUAGGCCGUCCCCUGAAAAGGACGCCUCCCGGCCCGGACCGGACCCCCGUGGGGCCGGACUCGGCGCCCGCCGGAGGAUAACCAAACGCUAUUUUAACGACGUUUCUUCUGAGUGGCAUAAGCAAAAUAAUCAAAACUUUUAACAACGGAUCUCUUGGUUCUGGCAUCGAUGAAGAACGCAGCGAAAUGCGAUAAGUAAUGUGAAUUGCAGAAUUCAGUGAAUCAUCGAAUCUUUGAACGCACAUUGCGCCCGCCAGCAUUCUGGCGGGCAUGCCUGUUCGAGCGUCAUUUCAACCCUCAAGCUCUGCUUGGUGUUGGGGCUCUACGGUCGACGUAGGCCCUCAAAGGUAGUGGCGGACCCUCCCGGAGCCUCCUUUGCGUAGUAACAUUUCGUCUCGCACUGGGAUCCGGAGGGACUCUUGCCGUAAAACCCCCCAAUUUUUCAAGGUUGACCUCGGAUCAGGUAGGAAUACCCGCUGAACUUAAGCAUAUCAA
rnacentral:rRNA from 1 species